CUACGGGGUGCUGCAGUGAGGAAUAUUGCGCAAUGGGGGAAACCCUGACGCAGCGACGCCGCGUGGAUGUUGAAGGCCUUAGGGUCGUAAAAUCCUGUCAGGUGGGAAGAAGUGGAUAUAGAUUAAUACUCUAUUUCUUUGACGGUACCACCAAAGGAAGCACCGGCUAACUCCGUGCCAGCAGCCGCGGUAAUACGGAGGGUGCAAACGUUGUUCGGAAUUACUGGGCGUAAAGCGCGCGUAGGCGGUUUGUUAAGUCAGAUGUGAAAGUCCAGGGCUCAACUAUGGAAGUGCAUUUGAAAAUGGCAGACUUGAGUACUGGAGGGGGUGAUGGAAUUCCCGGUGUAGAGGUGAAAUUCGUAGAUAUCGGGAGGAAUACCGGUGGCGAAGGCGAUCACCUGGCCAGAUACUGACGCUGAGGUGCGAAAGCGUGGGGAGCAAACAGGAUUAGAUACCCCUGUAGUC
rnacentral:rRNA from 1 species